CCUACGGGUGGCAGCAGUGAGGAAUAUUGGUCAAUGGGCGUAAGCCUGAACCAGCCAAGUCGCGUGAGGGAUGAAGGUUCUCUGGAUCGUAAACCUCUUUUAUAAGGGAAUAAAGUGUGGGACGUGUCCUAUUUUGUAUGUCCCUUAUGAAUAAGGAUCGGCUAACUCUGUGCCAGCAGCCGCGGUAAUACGGAGGAUCCGAGCGUUAUCCGGAUUUAUAGGGUUUAAAGGGUGCGUAGGCGGCCUUGUAAGUCAGCGGUGAAAGUCUGUGGCUCAACCAUAGAAUUGCCGUUGAAACUGGGGGGCUUGAGUAUGUUUGAGGCAGGCGGAAUGCGUGGUGUAGCGGUGAAAUGCUUAGAUAUCAGGAAGAACCCCGAUUGCGAAGGCAGCCUGCCAAGCCAUGACUGACGCUGAGGCACGAAAGCGUGGGGAUCAAACAGGAUUAGAUACCCGGGUAGUC
rnacentral:rRNA from 1 species